GAUGAACGCUGGCGGCGUGCCUAAUACAUGCAAGUCGAACGGACAGACCAUGAGCUUGUGCCUUUCCCGGUAGCGGCGGGCGGGUGAGUCACGUGUGGAUCCCCUUCUUAUCUUUCUUGUAUCAUUUCGAAACAGCGGCUAUAAUCCCAGAGCAUAUAUUGAUCCGGAGGGUUCAUUGGAAAAUUACGGCUUUUGUGUCUGUACUAGCUGCUUCCGCGCCGCAUUAGCUAGUGGGUGAGGUAACAGCUUACCAAGGCUACGAUGCGUAGCCGAGCUGAGAGGGUGAUCGGCCACACUGGAACUGAGACACGGUCCAGACUCCUACGGGAGGCAGCAGUAGGGAAUCUGGAGCAAUGGGCGAAAGAUUGACGGAGAAACGCCGCGUGAGUGAUGAAGGUCUUCGGAUCGUAAAACUCUGUUAUUGGGGAAGAACAAAUGUGUGAGUAACUAUGCACGUCUUGACGGUACCUAAGCAGAAAGCCACGGCUAAAUUCGUG
rnacentral:rRNA from 1 species